UAUGCCUUGCUACUAAUGAACAAAUGUAGCGGGUUUUCUCUGUAAGACUAUAAUAUGUCAAAAUUACCAAAAUGUUUGAUAUCCAAUAACCGAUGUCCUCCAGUGGUGUCGUUAAAGAAAAUAAUCUUCAACUUUGUCCUUAUUAGUUUCCAGUCUUGAUGACACCCACAACAACACUACAAUUGGUCGACCUACUUGUAACCACAAGAGAAACAUUUUGAAGUCAUUUAUAUAAUUACAUUUUUUUAAAGAAAGAAGAAGAAGGAAACGUAUUUCUAAACCGAACUAUAUAUUAAAUUGUAGUAUUACUUAUUAAAUUACAAGAUGAAUAGUGGUGCCUCAAGUAUCCGUUUUUAAUACAAAUGAAAAAUACUAUACUUUUUUUUAACUUGCCUUAUAUUAAUGGGUUUGAUGACCUUCAGUAUUGUAGCUGCCAUGUGUUCGAGAUGAGUGUGUGGUUAGUGACGGGUGAGCAUGUGUCCCCAGCUACAGCUCGGACGACAGCCAUAAUUACAAAACCUGCUUUCCUUGCCAUGUAUGUAACAUUCAAUCGUACCCGUCCAGGCAUCCUGGAAUACCCAUUGUAUUGUAUCAACUCUAUUUGCGUGCCUAUAUCCAAUUAAGGUCCAAGCUCGUCCUCUCUGGGCACACAUUUUGACUUCGCCAAAGUCCGAGUCCAGGGUAGAAAAGAAAUAUUAACAAAACCGUAUCUCUACACAAUAUAGAGUCGAACGGGUAUUUGACAAAAAAUGGUUGUUGCUAAAAAACAUUAACAUAGCCAGUUCAUCAAAUACACGCGACUAAGACAAGUGGGUAAAAUGAUGAGUUUUGACAGUCUUCAAUCUGAUAACUGUUCGUGGGUACACUCUAUAGACGUCGCCGAGUCUUUGUCUAAAUCUACGUUAAGUGUAAGUUUUGUUGAUGUGUCCUCUUUGAGCGGUGCGGGAACGAUGUAUUAUCCAGUAAGGAAUCUCGGGAAUGGCUGUCCUCCUACAGAACAGACAUGCAGCUUAAUUCUUGGUCAUAUCGUGUUUGAAUGUCUGGGGUGGCAGUCCUCUUUGAGCGGUGCGGGAACGAUUAUUGUCCGGUAAAGAAUCUCCUCGGGAGUGGCUGUCCCCUACAGAACAGGCAUACAGCUUAAUUCUUGGUCAUAUCUUGUUUGAAUGACUGUGGUGGCAGUCCUCUGAGCGGUUUGCUGGAACGAUGUAUUAUCCAGUACGGAAUCUCCUCGGGAGUGGCUGUCCUCCUACACAACAGGCAUUAGAUAGAGAUUCAUAGGAUCAACCACUAUUUUUGCCAAAUGCCCGUUCGACUCUGCAUUGUGCUGAGAUACGGUUUUGAUCGUGGAUAACCGUUUAGUUGUUAAGAUAAUACAGCUUUAAUUAUUGAUGUUAAAUACGAGCCAGUUUUAAUUAGAAGAUAUUUAUAUCUUUUUUGAUGUUUUUGUUUUGUUUUGUUUUGUCUUGAUUUUCUUUUUCAAAUAUGAUUUGCUUCUUAGCGAGUAAGCAUGCGAUUACGUCACACCAGGCGUUUGUGUAUAGCAUACGUGGUAUGAAAUUAGAUUUAAAUCGUAUUUGACCAAAAACAAAACAAAAACCAAGACAAAACAUAAAAUAUUGUUUUUAUUAUACAACAUUCGUCAUUUUACUUUUAUUCUAAAAUAAUAAUUACAAAAAAUAUCGGAAAGCCAUAAUAAACCAUUUUGACCUGACGUCACUUAAGGUGAAAUAAAAGUUUCUUGAAACAUUUUACUGUGAAGAUGAAACCUUCCAGUUGUUAUUUUCACUUCAACAUAGUUCAUGUCAGACUAUAAAAUCCCUUUAAUAUACUGUACGAAAAGUGUUGAACAUGUUAAUUUUUUUAUUCUGUUAAAAUAAAUGCCCAACGAUUCUAAGCAUUGCAACUUGAACGUGCCCACAAAAUCCCGUAUUUAGCGGGGGGAGGGGGGGGGGGGGGGGGGGGUAAUGAAGCAAAUCUAAUAUCUUGGUCAGAUGAGUGUUUCUGCGGAACAAAGCAUGUUAACGUACUUUAAAAUACUGGGGGGUGGGGGUCAUUUUAAAGGAGCUUACCAUCCCUAAAAAAAAAGUCUGUAUCCGCCCCAUAAACACAAGCAAGUGGAAGCGUGUUUAUGCAAUUCUAAACAAUGUUCGAGAUCUCCGAGUUAAUGGAUCUCUAUUAUUUACGGUGCCUGUUUAGUCCCAUUCUGAGAUCUUCAUUUGCUAUCACCCGAAUAUACCAUGACGAGUCCAUUUGCUAGAUAGGUAAUGCCAAAACUAACCACUGUAGAAGUCACAAAGGGACUUAUCCAAUAUAGCUUUAAUUCUUAAUGUCAGAUAGGAACUGGUCUAAUGCAGGUUUAAUUAUUGAUGUCACACAGGGACGUAUCCAGUAUAGCUUUAAUUCGUAAUGUCAGAUAGGAACUGGUCUAAUGCAGGUUUAAUUCUUGAUGUCACACAGGGACUUGUCCAGUAUAGCUUUAAUUCGUAAUGUCAGAUAGGAACUGGUCUAAUACAGGUUUAAUUACUGAUGUCACACAGGGACUUAUCCAGUAUAGCUUUAAUUCGUAAUGUCAGAUAGGAACUGGUCUACUACAGGUUUAAUUAUUGAUGUCACACAGGGACUUAUCCAGUAUAGCUUUAAUUCGUAAUGUCAGAUAGGAACUGGUCUACUACAGGUUUAAUUAUUGAUGUCACACAGAAACUUAUCAAAUAUAGCUUUAAUUCGUAAUGUCAGAUAGGAACUGGUCUAAUACAGGUUUAAUUAUUGAUGUCACACAGAAACUUAUCAAAUAUAGCUUUAAUUCGUAAUGUCAGAUAGGAACUGGUCUACUACAGGUUUAAUUAUUGAUGUCAUACAGGAACUUAUCCAGUAUAGCUUUAAUUCGUAAUGUCAGAUAGGAACUGGUCUACUACAGGUUUAAUUAUUGAUGUCAUACAGGGACUUAUCCAGUAUAGCUUUAAUUCGUAAUGUCAGAUAGGAACUGGUCUACUACAGGUUUAAUUAUUGAUGUCACACAGGGACUUAUCCAGUAUAGCUUUAAUUCGUAAUGUCAGAUAGGAACUGGUCUACUACAGGUUUAAUUAUUGAUGUCACACAGGGACUUAUCCAGUAUAGCUUUAAUUCGUAAUGUCAGAUAGGAACUGGCCUACUACAGGUUUAAUUAUUGAUGUCACACAGGGACUUAUCCAGUAUAGCUUUAAUUCGUAAUGUCAGAUAGGAACUGGCCUACUACAGGUUUAAUUAUUGAUGUCACACAGGGACUUAUCCAGUAUAGCUUUAAUUCGUAAUGUCAGAUAGGAACUGGUCUACUACAGGUUUAAUUAUUGAUGUCAUACAGGGACUUAUCCAGUAUAGCUUUAAUUCGUAAUGACAGGUGGGAACUGGUCUACUACAGGUUUAAUUAUUGAUGUCACACAGAAACUUAUCAAAUAUAGCUUUAAUUCGUAAUGUCAGAUAGGAACUGGUCUACUACAGGUUUAAUUACUGAUGUCACACAGGGACUUAUCCAGUAUAGCUUUAAUUCGUAAUGUCAGAUAGGAACUGGCCUACUACAGGUUUAAUUAUUGAUGUCAUACAGGGACUUAUCCAGUAUAGCUUUAAUUCGUAAUGUCAGAUAGGAACUGGUCUACUACAGGUUUAAUUAUUGAUGUCACACAGGAACUUAUCCAGUAUAGCUUUAAUUCGUAAUGUCAGAUAGGAACUGGUCUACUACAGGUUUAAUUAUUGAUGUCACACAGGGACUUAUCCAGUAUAGCUUUAAUUCGUAAUGUCAGAUAGGAACUGGCCUACUACAGGUUUAAUUAUUGAUGUCACACAGGGACUUAUCCAGUAUAGCUUUAAUUCGUAAUGUCAGAUAGGAACUGGUCUACUACAGGUUUAAUUAUUGAUGUCAUACAGGGACUUAUCCAGUAUAGCUUUAAUUCGUAAUGACAGGUGGGAACUGGUCUACUACAGGUUUAAUUAUUGAUGUCACACAGAAACUUAUCAAAUAUAGCUUUAAUUUAUAAUAUCUGAUAGGAACUGGCCUAAUACUGGUUGAAUUCUUGAUGUCAAACAUGCAUCUCUCUAAUACAGGUUAUAUUCUUGAUGUCAAAUAGGAGCUGGUAUUAUACAUGUUUUAUAAUCACCAAAGUCUUACGACUACCUCUGCAACGUCUUCAUAUUUUCAUUCGUCUUCCUGUCACGUGACAUGAGAAACGUAACCACGUGUAAUAUUUUAAAUCACGUGUGCAUUUACUUGUUUUCUUCCACGUCCUUGUCAAGCUGUAACAUUUAAAUGUUUCUUAUCUCUGGAGAAACAUUUUACAUUUAUAGACAGAUCAGAAGCACCUCGUUGAAAAACGAAGAGAGAGAGAGAGAGAGAGAGAGAGAGAGAGAGAGAGAGAGAGAGAGAGAGAGAGAGAGAGAGAGAGUAGAGAGAGAGAAAGAGAGAGAGAGAGAGAGAGAGAGAGAGAGAGAGAGAGAGAGAGAGAGAGGUAUGUGUGUGUGUUACGGAUUAAGAUGGCCGAUUGAUUAUAAAUGCUUAAAUAUAUAAAAUACACUCGAGAAUUACAUUAAUUAAAGCGACAAACCCUAGUUUUUAAACACUACGGCGUAUUUUUCACUAUUAGAGCCGUUUUUGAUAAUUGGAAUCAGGUAUUACUGUUAUGUUAUCAUUUAGACUAUCUAUGUCCUUACAUUUGAAGUGUUUAUGGUAAUUCUAUUGUUUCUAACCAUGAACUACAUUUUUUUCAUAUUUAUUAAAGCGCACGUACCUCUGAGAAGUAACGGUUAUGGAAACUAGCUCUAGACAAUUUUUAAGAGUAUUUCCCCGUUUUGACGUCACAGACUCUUGUUUCACUAGGGUGUGCGACUUUAAAAAUACAUUGUAAUGUACAGUCAAAUCGACUUAAUUGCAUAUCAUUUUAUAGAAUAAUUCGGUUAUUUGUAUAUUAUGAUUUUACAACAUUCUUACUGAAAGUUAUAUUAAUUUUCUGAUUUGUUUUUAAAUACAAGCAAACUGACAUGUUUGUUAUCAUUCGAGUCGAAGUUCAUGCUACACCAGACAUUUGUAAAGUUUACUGCCGGUUAUAAUUGGAAAUCGAAGCAGGCCAGAUAAUAGGUUUGACCAGUUAUUAUCAAUAUAUAGGCGGCAUCUAUGAUAUACAAUUAAGUGGGUUUGACCGUUUAUUAUCAAUAUAUAGGCGGCAUCUAUGAUAUACAAUUAAGUGGGUUUGACCAGUUAUUAUCAAUAUAUGGGCGGCAUCUAUGAUAUGCAAUUAAGUGGGUUUGUCUGUAUAUAAAACACAAAUACUCCGUUUACGGCCAUGGACACAAAUAACCCUAAAAUAUUAAAUAAAAAACACAUCCAGUUACUGUGAGUUGAAAUGUUCUGUCAUGUUUUCUACAAAAACGUGCUUAUGUAUUUGUUAAUGUAUCUACCAUAUAUUUACACAAUUUACUACAGAACAUUUUUGUUUUCAUUUUAAUCUUGUUUUUGUUAUGACUUAUUUGCAUGUACAUUUUAGUAUAUUGUGGCCAAUACAUGUGUGCAAUAUGUUACUUUAUAAUGACAUUGAAAAAAAACCCCACAAACAUUUUAAGAAUGUAAAGCCUUAUAUAUCCAUCCUUGUAACAAAACCGAAACAAAAAACAACAGCAGAAACUUGUAUUAUUUUCAUCGUUUGUUUGUUUUAAAUGUUUUUUAUUUUGUAAUAUAAUCUCAUGAAAAUUUGCGGAAAGCAUACGGAAAUACUAGAGUGUUUUCGGAUCGUCAUAUAAAUCCCUCGUGUGAUUCCGACCACCUACAAUAUUACUCGGGUGUUUUCGAAAUUUCACACGAAGUGUCCGUGUACUUUCGAACACCUAUCGGAUUAUUCUGGUGCUUUCGGAAUUUAACACAAUAUAAUAAAAAAAACCUCGCUUCUACAUUAAACAAGAUAAAAUAUCGAAUUUCCGCCCGAACCUUGUAAUACGUGUAUAAGUAGAUUUAUAGGGAACCUUGGUGAGGUGUGAUAAGUCCUAAAGUCCGUUCAUCUGUCGUUCUGCAUGCAAAUACAUUCAGUGCAUUCCCAAGAUAAUUUACGUACACGUCAUUGUUUCAUAUUUACCAAUUGUUUAACAUUGUUCAUGUUGAAAUAUGUCUUUUUUCAAACUUGAAUAAAAUAUCUUUUUCAUA
rnacentral:lncRNA from 1 species